UGCAGUCGAGCGAAUGGAUUAAGAGCUUGCUCUUAUGAAGUUAGCGGCGGACGGGUGAGUAACACGUGGGUAACCUGCCCAUAAGACUGGGAUAACUCCGGGAAACCGGGGCUAAUACCGGAUAACAUUUUGAACUGCAUGGUUCGAAAUUGAAAGGCGGCUUCGGCUGUCACUUAUGGAUGGACCCGCGUCGCAUUAGCUAGUUGGUGAGGUAACGGCUCACCAAGGCAACGAUGCGUAGCCGACCUGAGAGGGUGAUCGGCCACACUGGGACUGAGACACGGCCCAGACUCCUACGGGAGGCAGCAGUAGGGAAUCUUCCGCAAUGGACGAAAGUCUGACGGAGCAACGCCGCGUGAGUGAUGAAGGCUUUCGGGUCGUAAAACUCUGUUGUUAGGGAAGAACAAGUGCUAGUUGAAUAAGCUGGCACCUUGACGGUACCUAACCAGAAAGCCACGGCUAACUACGUGCCAGCAGCCGCGGUAAUACGUAGGUGGCAAGCGUUAUCCGGAAUUAUUGGGCGUAAAGCGCGCGCAGGUGGUUUCUUAAGUCUGAUGUGAAAGCCCACGGCUCAACCGUGGAGGGUCAUUGGAAACUGGGAGACUUGAGUGCAGAAGAGGAAAGUGGAAUUCCAUGUGUAGCGGUGAAAUGCGUAGAGAUAUGGAGGAACACCAG
rnacentral:rRNA from 1 species